rnacentral:rRNA from 1 species
GAUGAACGCUGGCGGCGUGCCUAAUACAUGCAAGUCGAGCGAACAGACGAGGAGCUUGCUCCUCUGAUGUUAGCGGCGGACGGGUGAGUAACACGUGGAUAACCUACCUAUAAGACUGGGAUAACUUCGGGAAACCGGAGCUAAUACCGGAUAAUAUUUUGAACCGCAUGGUUCAAUAGUGAAAGACGGUCUUGCUGUCACUUAUAGAUGGAUCCGCGCUGCAUUAGCUAGUUGGUAAGGUAACGGCUUACCAAGGCAACGAUGCGUAGCCGACCUGAGAGGGUGGUCGGCCCCACCGGAACUUGGCACCCGGCCAAGCUCCUACGGGAGGCCGCAGUAGGGAAUCUUCCCGCAUGGGCGGAAGCUCGACGGAGCAACGCCGCGUGAGUGAUGAAGGGCUUCGGAUCGUAAAACUCUGUUAUUAGGGAAAAACCAAUUUGUAAGGUACUUUGCACGUCUUGACCGUACCUAAUCCAAAAGCCCCGGCUAACUACGUG